rnacentral:rRNA from 1 species
UGGGGAAUAUUGGACAAUGGGCGAAAGCCUGAUCCAGCCAUGCCGCGUGAGUGAUGAAGGCCCUCGGGUUGUAAAGCUCUUUCAACGGUGACGAUAAUGACGGUAACCGUAGAAGAAGCCCCGGCUAACUUCGUGCCAGCAGCCGCGGUAAUACGAAGGGGGCUAGCGUUGUUCGGAAUUACUGGGCGUAAAGCGCACGUAGGCGGAUACUUAAGUUAGGGGUGAAAUCCCAGGGCUCAACCCUGGAACUGCCUUUAAUACUGGGUAUCUCGAGUCCGAGAGAGGUGAGUGGAAUUCCGAGUGUAAAGGGGAAAUUCGUAGAUAUUCGGAGGAACACCAGUGGCGAAGGCGGUUCACUGGCUCGGUACUGACGCUGAGGUGCGAAAGCAUGGGGAGCAAACAGG